rnacentral:rRNA from 1 species
GACGAACGCUGGCGGCGUGCUUAACACAUGCAAGUCGAACGGAAAGGCCCUGCUUUUGUGGGGUGCUCGAGUGGCGAACGGGUGAGUAACACGUGAGUAACCUGCCCUUGACUUUGGGAUAACUUCAGGAAACUGGGGCUAAUAUCGGAUAGGAGCUCCUGCUGCAUGGUGGGGGUUGGAAAGUUUCGGCGGUUGGGGAUGGACUCGCGGCUUAUCAGCUUGUUGGUGGGGUAGUGGCUUACCAAGGCUUUGACGGGUAGCCGGCCUGAGAGGGUGACCGGCCACAUUGGGACUGAGAUACGGCCCAGACUCCUACGGGAGGCAGCAGUGGGGAAUAUUGCACAAUGGGCGGAAGCCUGAUGCAGCAACGCCGCGUGCGGGAUGACGGCCUUCGGGUUGUAAACCGCUUUCGCCUGUGACGAAGCGUGAGUGACGAUAAUGGGUAAAGAAGCACCGGCUAACUACGUG